AUAACUACUGGAAACGGUAGCUAAUACCGCAUAACGUCGCAAGACCAAAGAGGGGGACCUUCGGGCCUCUUGCCAUCAGAUGUGCCCAGAUGGGAUUAGCUAGUAGGUGGGGUAAUGGCUCACCUAGGCGACGAUCCCUAGCUGGUCUGAGAGGAUGACCAGCCACACUGGAACUGAGACACGGUCCAGACUCCUACGGGAGGCAGCAGUGGGGAAUAUUGCACAAUGGGCGCAAGCCUGAUGCAGCCAUGCCGCGUGUAUGAAGAAGGCCUUCGGGUUGUAAAGUACUUUCAGCGAGGAGGAAGGCAUUAAGGUUAAUAACCUUAGUGAUUGACGUUACUCGCAGAAGAAGCACCGGCUAACUCCGUGCCAGCAGCCGCGGUAAUACGGAGGGUGCAAGCGUUAAUCGGAAUUACUGGGCGUAAAGCGCACGCAGGCGGUCUGUCAAGUCGGAUGUGAAAUCCCCGGGCUCAACCUGGGAACUGCAUUCGAAACUGGCA
rnacentral:rRNA from 1 species